GCCAAGAGGCAACUAGAGAUCAAUGCAACAAGCCUGGAGAGGCCAAUAGACCCUAAGGGGGCAAUCAGAAGCCAAACAACGCAAAUUCCAUUAACCUAACAUUAGAGAAACCCAACAAUGUCUACCCAUCGACAACCACUCCGGUGCUACCAUGUUGAUAUAGUUAUAGACUAUAUUAGAGUUUUCUCCUUGCAUAUUGUAUUGAUAUGGGAUUGAUAUAGUAAAAAUUCUUGCUACGGUCGACAUGAGUAGGGCUAUUAUCUGAGGGGCCUCAAAUCUAUCUAAAAAUCCACAUGUCCCCUUCUUGUUGCUACUGUCUUAUACUAUAUGUCCUUUUCAUCGGCUGAACCAUAUGUCCUCAUAUCGUAGUUGGAUCUUUGCUCGAUGAAAAGUAGAGCCAAAGAGUAGUUCAAGGAGUUAGCUCAUACUUAUGAUCGUAAACAGUAUUGGUUUGUCUUUAAUCAGAGAGAGCCAAUAGUUGCAAGGUAUAAAAUCCCAAACUUAACCCUUAUAGCAAGGGAGAGAAGAGGAUGUACGUUACAGAUAGGGA
rnacentral:lncRNA from 1 species